GACGAACGCUGGCGGCGUGCUUAACACAUGCAAGUCGAACGGAAAGGCCCUGCUUGCAGGGUACUCGAGUGGCGAACGGGUGAGUAACACGUGGGUGAUCUGCCCUGCACUUCGGGAUAAGCCUGGUAAACUGGGUCUAAUACCGGAUAGGAGCCAUUUUUAGUGUGAUGGUUGGAAAGUUUUUUCGGUGUAGGAUGAGCUCGCGGCCUAUCAGCUUGUUGGUGGGGUAAUGGCCUACCAAGGCGGCGACGGGUAGCCGGCCUGAGAGGGUGGACGGCCACAUUGGGACUGAGAGACGGCCCAGACGCCUACGGGAGGCAGAAGUGGGGAAUAUUGCACAAUGGGCGCCAGCCUGAUGCAGAGACGCCGCGUGGGGGAUGACGGCCUUCGGGUUGUAAACUCCUUUCGCUAGGGACGAAGCUUUUUGUGACGGUACCUAGAUAAGAAGCACCGGCUAACUACGUG
rnacentral:rRNA from 1 species